ensembl:lncRNA
GGUUAUCUCAUGGUUGGCCCAUUCUUUAGAUACUUUGAGAGAAAAACAAAACAAACAAAAAAAUCCAAGCCUUCCAACUUUUAGGCACCACAUGAAAACUUAAUGUUAUUUUGAAUAGAUGGCAAAUUAUACUUUGGGAGAAACCUUUUCAACAGUUCAACAACAAGAUACCUACACAUUGGGUAUUGCAACUGGAUUGGUUUUAAGACAGCUAUGACCACCACUCUGCAUGGAAAUAUUCACCGAGUCAACAAGUUUACUCGUUUAAGUGAUGGCUCUGUGGGCAGGACUGAAGUGGGGAGCAGCAUAUAGGGCAGCAGCUGCAAGUCAUGUUUCGAAGAGCCCACUGGGAGUAUCCUGCAAAAGAAGACAAACUUUAGGCUUUGCAUGAGCAGCAGAAGAGUUUGGUAUCUCCCGGCCUUUCUGUCAGCUCAGGUUGGCCUUUUACUGCCCUUUAUGUGUGUGACAAGUGAAAAGAGAAAAAGAAAAGAAACUCGAGUGAAGAAAACCAGCAUCUGCACAGCAGUUUGAAGGUGGUGUCCAGCCAAUUCCCACUCAACCUGCCUCAUCAAGCCCCCAGCAUUCACCUCUUUGCUCAUCUCACAGUCCACAUGUGUGACAGGCCCACAAUUCCUUUCUCAGAGCAGAGCCUCUCCCACACUUCCGGUUGUCACCCCCAACUUAGAUAUUCAGUCAAUACCUGGGGACCUGAGCUGCUUCACCUGGGAGCCAAGCUGAACUCUGAUUCCACAGCCCUCACACCCGGCAACAAUACCAAAAGAAAGUAGAUGCCGCUUGGAAAUCUCUCUCCUAGAACUUGGUUCUCAUAAUUCCCCCAAGAAAUCAGCAUGUGACUGCUCACCUCUCCAGGGAACUGAAACAGUCAACUCAGCUACUUAGAUCAACUUUAAAAAUCCCCACCCGGACCGUAUUAAAUCAUUUUGGCUGGGACGAUGAAAUAACUGACUUGUUGGCAGUUUCUUGGACUAUCUGUAGACACGGGGAAAAAAUACUUUUAAUCAGGUCAAGUCACUCUGCCUUUUGGAUUCGAAAUUUAGCAAUAUUCUGAAUGAAAACUAUUCAGUUAUAGCGAGGAAAAUAUGAUUAUUCUUUUUAGUUCAGUAAGCAACCAAGAGUUUGUUCUUCAAAUUUUAACAUUUAAUUGAUCAGAAAUUAUUUUUGGAAGACUGGUUCCUGUGAAGCCACCUCUACCCGUAGGAUUUUUCUUUAAACAUCUGGACUAUAGAAGGAAAUUUACAGCCUGGACUUUCACUGACCAUGGAUUCUCACCUGAGUCUUACACCCAACACAAGCUGUUAAUGCUACUUCUUCCUUGUGGGCCCUACCAGCUAUGUAGAUUUGUUAAAAUGAAAUAUUAAGCAUCUUUUAUUUUCUUUGCCUUUAAUUAUAUGAUCCCCUC